GAUGGACAUCGAGUGCAGCUCAGCGGUCUCACAAAGACCUGAAUGCUCAGGAGAGGCCUGAUGAAUUUAGUUUCCAUGUGAGAGAGUAAAAACAACUUUGACAGCAGCGAUGUUUUAACAGGAAAUAUUCUGUUGCAAGAAACAAUUUCCCGUGAAGAGAGUCCGCAGCGAAGGUCCGGCGGCGACGACAAAGCGAGGAGAGCGGCAGCGCUGAAUUUCCUCCCGCCGUCUUAAUGGCAUGUGUAAUUUAAAAGCGUGUUCCAACACAUGAUACCUCUAUUAUGUUUCUGUGAGAGCUUGUGAUAACAACACGAGUCCACUGGAAGGUGUGUGGUCCUGAGUGGUAGCAGGGAGAAAGUGUCUGGCAGGGUGGGCCUUCGACCACAGUCCUCGGGGCAGACCUUGGCGACCAGGCUACACACACACACACACACACACACACACAGCAAGUGUAGCACACGGCCACCAGUGGAGAACCAGUAAUGAAUGAAAUAUUAUAUUCCACAUCAUAUUCCAGCCCUUAACAUUAUUACCGUCACAUUAAAGCCUGUUUUUUUUUCGAGUAGGACAUAUAUUACAAAAGUUGUCUGUACAGCGAAACUGCCAGCACCCCCCUCACGUGAGAGUUACUUGUGUUAGCUAUUGCGUGGAACGAUGCGAUGUGUUAAACACAUCAAAGCACUCUGCUGCUCUCAUGAUGUAAAUGCUAAAAUCCCUCCAAUCAGGGCAGAAGAAAUGCAAUGAAUGCUCGAUCUUUGCCAGGCAGCUUGUUUGCAAAACUGUCCCGAAAAACAAACCUUCCCCUGGAUGUUUUGGGGAUGAGAUCAGGUGAGUUGAGUCGACUCGUUACUCUCUUCUCAACUCGCUUUGUUGUGAUUUUCUUUAGGAAAAUCUGGCAAGAAAAACCCGACAGUCCGCCGACUGCAGCUGACGGCCGUCACCGCGUCGGUGGAAAGCAUCGCUUGGCGGCAGGAUCCUCGCCGUCAUGGCUGCAAAACACACGAUGUAAUCAUCAAGGCAGACGGGAGCAGCACCAGCAGCCCGCUGGAGGAGUUGAGGGACGGAGCAGCAGAGUCAGAGAGAAGGUGGGAGGAGGGGGGGGGGGGGGGGGAGGGGGGGGGGGGGGGGAGGAAGGGGGAAAGGGGGGGGGGCGGGUAUCCAACUGCCGAGGAGCCCCGGGCGGUUCAACAAGCCCACCCCCCACCCCACCCCGGAGCGUCAGACCCCGAUCCCCCAGAGAGCCUGCAAGCGCCGCCGAACCCACGCGUAAGCCAGAAGGAGGAGAGCCAGGGAGGAGAGAAAAGGAAAAAAAACGGUGUGGGGGAGGAGGAGGAGGAGGAGGAGGAGAGGGAAGAAAGCCACAACGGUAG
ensembl:lncRNA